AUUUUCAGAAGAUAGAUUCCUGGUUUGUUUUUCUUUUAAUGAUCUAUAAACAUUGUAGUAAAAGAAAAUUUCACAUUAUUAUAGGGGACAGCUUAUUAAAUUACAAAUUUGCAUUAUUAACGGGACAAUUUUAAAGGGGAUUUUGAUAGGGAUUUUUUAAAGAGGAAAGAAAAUUUAGAAAUGUUCUUCCGUCUUUAAAAAUCACUAUCAAAGUUGUAAACCGAUAGCAUCUUAAAAUGGAAAAUCAGCCAGCUAACAGUUUAGUAAAUGUUUUCGAUUCUAUCUGAAUAGUUCAGGGUCUGUAUUGACACUCGUAUUUCCAGAAUUUUAAGGUAAAUCUAAGCAUGACCUCUCGAUUAUCUUCGCGGAAAUUGGCGGUGCUUCGUGAUGUAUUCUGGAAAAUAUCUGCCGAUUACUAUCUGAUAAAGUUAGAAAACGGAAUGAAACUAAGAUGGAAAAAUAAUAAUAAUUUGUGGAUGGCCUUUAUCAUACCGUUAGAGUUUCUGCCAACCGUGAACUGGAAAGACCAUCUUUUAUUCCAAGAAUCAGUAUCAUCCAAAUUUUUCGAUAACUUGGUCAUUACGAAUUAAAUUUCAUUCAUUUGGCCAUUUUAUUUGAUAAAGUAUUGAACAAAACAUUUAAUCGAAAUUUGGAGAGUAAUAUGAAGUUAAUAACGGAAAAGACAUUUACAAAAUUGAAAAAUAGGACAAACAUUAUCUUUUAAUUUUCUCUCCUUCAUGGACACGUCAAUCAAUUUCAGCGUUCAAUCGAUCAAAUUUGACAUAUCGUCGUUGCGCAUUCAAAACCAGACAAACAAAAAUAAGCAACUUUUCAGGAUAAGCAAAAAACUAGUUUUGUUCGUACGGAACGGUUAAUACAGUAAAAUAAGUACAUAGAAAAUUAACAAUUGUCAUCACAUUUCGACUAAAUAUGGGCUUUCUUUGAAUAUCUUUUUAUUUUAGCCAUAAAGAUAUUAAAUGUGAAAAAAUGCACAUAUCUGAUUCUUUUUAGUUCUAAAAUCCGGUAUAUGUAUAGACCGUUCAUAACUGUUUUUGUAGAAUAGCACGCUAAAUAAAUUUUGUGUAGUGUUUAAUGCA
rnacentral:lncRNA from 1 species